CUAACAAGGAUUCCCCUAGUAACGGCGAGUGAAGCGGGAAGAGCUCAAAUUUGUAAUCUGGCCGUUUUGCGGUCCGAGUUGUAACCUAAAGAAACGUUUUCUGUGCCCAGCGUCGCAUGAGUCUGUUGGAAUAUAGCGUCAAAGAGGGUGAGAACCCCGUUUAUGGUGACUGUCUGGUGUGCUCUGUGAUACGUUUUCUAAGAGUCGAGUUGUUUGGGAAUGCAGCUCUAAUUGGGUGGUAAAUUCCAUCUAAAGCUAAAUAUUGACGAGAGACCGAUAGCGAACAAGUACCGUGAGGGAAAGAUGAAAAGCACUUUGGAAAGAGAGUUAACAGUACGUGAAAUUGUUAUAAGGGAAACGCUUGAAGUCAGACAUGCUCCGUGCCUCCAGCCGCAAGGUGUAUCGGUACGGAUCAGGCUAGAGUCUGUUCUUGGGGUCGGAUAAGGGUCUUUGGAAUGUGGCUGGUCCGCCAGUGUUAUAGCCUUUGACUUGAUACGGCUUUGGGGACAGAGGACUGCAGCGCGCCUUUUGGCAUUGGCUUCGGCCUUUUCCGCGCUAAGGAUUCUGGCUUAAUGGCUUUAAGCGACCCGUCUUGAAACACGGACCAAGGAGUCUAACAUGCCUGCGAGUGUUUGGGUGUAAAACCCGUGCGCGUAAUGAAAGUGAAUGUAGGUGGGAUCCGCAAGGUGCACCAUCGACCGGUCUGGAUUUUCUAUGAUGGAUCUGAGUAAGAGCAUGUAUGUUGGGACCCGAAAGAUGGUGAACUAUGCCUGAAUAGGGUGAAGCCAGAGGAAACUCUGGUGGAGGCUCGUAGCGGUUCUGACGUGCAAAUCGAUCGUCAAAUUUGGGUAUAGGGGCGAAAGACUAAUCGAACC
rnacentral:rRNA from 1 species